rnacentral:rRNA from 1 species
AUACGUAGGGGGCGAGCGUUGUCCGGAAUGAUUGGGCGUAAAGGGCGCGUAGGCGGCCUGUUAAGUCUGGAGUGAAAGUCCUGUUUUCAAGAUGGGAAUUGCUUUGGAUACUGAUGGGCUUGAGUGCAGGAGAGGUUAUCGGAAUUCCCGGUGUAGCGGUGAAAUGCGUAGAGAUCGGGAGGAACACCAGUGGCGAAGGCGGGUAACUGGACUGCAACUGACGCUGAGGCGCGAAAGUGUGGGGAGCAAACAGGAUUAGAUACCCUGGUAGUCCACACUGUAAACGAUGAAUGCUAGGUGUAAGAGGUAUCGACCCCUUUUGUGCCGGAGUCAACACAAUAAGCAUUCCGCCUGGGGAGUACUGCCGCAAGGUUGAAACUCAAAUGAAUUGACGGGG